UUUUUGACUUAUUUAUGAGUACACUGUAGCUGUCUUCAGACUCACCAAAAGAGGGCAUCAGAUCCUAUGACAGGUGGUUGUGAGUCACCUUGUGGUUGCUGGGAAUUGAACUCAGGACCUUUGGAAGAGCAAUCAGCUCUCAUUAACUGCUGAGCCAUCUUUCUAGUGUUUUGUUUUUUGAGACAUGGUUUCUCUGUGAUAGUCCUGGCUUUCCUGCACUCCCUUUGUAGAUCAGGCUGGCCAUGAACUGAGAUCCACCUGCCUCUGCCUAAGAGUGAUGGGAUUAAAGAUGUGUUCCUUUAUAAGGUAGACUAGAUAAAGAGUAGAGAGUUGCCCUGAUGAAGGGUGAAAAGUAGGUAAGAGGAAGUCAUCCAUCAAAAAUAGUGCUAUAAAUAAACGGUGGUGGUGGUAGUUAGGUAUACCUGACAUUAAGUGUUAAGAAAUGUAGGCCAGGCUUGGUGGGGCACCUUCAGUCCUGGCAGAGCAUAUGGAUAUCUUGCAGUUGAGACCAAAUUCAAAUGAUAGUGUUGACUACAGAGGAAGCUGUUAGAUUUGCAAGGUUUGGAUCUUCUCAUUUGCUGUGGUCAAGUCAUUUUCAGAAAUGCUUUGUAGUGAUUACUAUUUCUUCUGUAGAGAAACAUGUUUGCUUUUUUUUUUUUUUUUUUUUUUGGUUUUUCGAGACAGAGUUUCUCUGUAUAUCUGUAUAGCCCUGGCUGUCCUGGAACUCACUUUGUAGACCAGGCUGGCCUUGAACUCAAAUCCACCUGCCUCUGCCUCCCGAGCUUUGGGAUUAAAGGCGUGCACCACCACGCCUGGCUAUGUUUGCAAUUUUAUCUCUAGAUGGAUUGGCUUGUGAUCUUGUUAUGAAUGGGAGUGGUUGUUCAAGCAAGUAAGGAAUAUAUUCCCAAAAAUCUUAAAGAUGAUAUUAAAUGUUAAGUGUAAGUUACUAACUAGGGAGUAUAACAAUUGAAAAAUCUUGGCUGAGUAAAAACUCUUAUAAAUAUCCAGUAAAUUAGGCUUCUGGGUUUGUUUUGAGCUGUAAAGCAAACUAGACUACCUAAUUUAUAUGGAAAAUUUGAAUUCUCAUUUAUCACGACUCAUUGUUGAAAGUGGUUGACUACACAAAAAGUCCCACCUCAUCCCCACCUGUUUCCUGCUCUUACUGGUGAAGUGUACCCUAGUAAGGGAGUGUACUUCCUUGGGAGGCAGGGGCAGAUGGGCAGACGGGCAGGCAGAUGUCUGAGUUGGAGGCUAGCAUGGUCUAAAUAGCUAGUUAUAGGUCAGCCAGUGUUAACAGAUGAGAUCUCAUCUUAAAAGGAAAAAAAAAACCUAGUCAUUGCUAUUGACUUCCUUAAAAACAGUAUUACUAUAAGCGGUCAAGUAAAUUUGUUGGUAUUUGUUCUUAGCAUUAUUUACUUACACUUCAUACACUCAACUUUCAUUGGAAGGGUUAUGGUUUUGUAUGAACUAAAUAUACUGAAGAAUUGACUGGUGAAAAUCUUUUUGGUGUUUAUUACUGUUUUUGAAAAGCUACAUUGAGUAUUGGUUCCCACUAUCAGUUUAAAAAACGACGGCUGGGCUCUGGACUACCAGUUUCAGUUGAGUCAUAUGGUUCUCUAGAUUUUACAUUUUUAAUAAGUACCAGGUGAUUUUUCUUGUCUUGACUCAUUUUUGAGUGUCCUUUUAGAAGAGCUCAUCCAAACAAACCUUAAUGAGAGUUUUGAGAAUAUAGCCCAGAAAUACUUAAAUUCUAAUUUUUCUGUGUAUGGCUGCAUGUAUGUAUGUACAUAUGUAUGUAUGUGCACUGUGUGCUUGUCUGCUGGACAUGUAAGACAUAAAGAAAACCUAGGACUCCCUGGAACUAGAAUUAGGUGUGAGCUAGCAUCUGGGUGCUGGAAUUAGAACCUCUGAGAGCAGUGCUCUUACCUGCUGAACCAUCUUUCCAACUCCUAUAUAUAUGUUCUUUAUGUAGGGAAAGACAUUUUGCUUUUUAAAAAAGUAGCAGUAGCUCAUUAGUUUGAUAACAUAGGUGAGAUUACUUGUUGACAUAAAACACGUAAUGCUUUUUACAUUGCUGCGUUUUUGUUUUUGGCUUUUUCCAGACAGGGUCUCAUACAGCUUGGUGCUCUGGCUGAUCUUGGAAUUCACUAUGUAGAGCAGGCUGGCCUCCCAACCCAGAUCCUCCACCUUCCUUUGCCUCCCUAGUGUUGGGACUAAAGGAGUGUAAAAUUAUGCACAGCUGCUUUUUAAGCCUAUGUAUGUCUUGUAUAUGUACUAAGGAUUUCUUUCUUUUUUUUAAUCUAUCAGGCUAACAUCCUGAAGAUUUUGGUACUGGGUUCAGGGUAGAAGUACCAGAUAGAAUUUGUCUUUAUUCUAAAAUACAGAUAACUUUCAAAUAUAAAUGUUCUUCUACCUAGAAACUUACUCUAUAGUUUUUCUAUUUAUAUAAUGCUUGUUUACUUGAAAUUGGUACUUUGUCUUAAUAGUUACAGUACUUGUUCUGUUUGUAGUCUUGGUAUUUUUAAAUAAGGGUUUGCUUGAUAAGUGUUCAGUUUAAAAUUUUAACAUGAAAUUUGUAAUGGGAAAUUAAGGCCUCAUGUCUUAAUGAAAUGAAAUACAACCAAGUCUUGCUUAUUUACACAAUGAGUAGAUACUAAACUGCAUCUCUUUUUAGCUGAUGAAACAAUCAGUUUGUGUCAUGUACAUUGUUUCAGUUUUUCAUUAUGUGUCAGAUUUUUCAUACAUUGGAAUUAGUUAGGUACAUACACUAGAUGAGCUAAAAAUGGAACACAUCCAUAAGGGCACAAUUUUUAUUACCUGUUUCAUGACAUAAACUGUUCAUGGACCCUUCCUCCAUUUCUAUUCACUGUCAGUGAUGAUGAAUAAAAGGGCUGGCUCCUUUUUAAGAACAUCUUUCACUCUGGCUGUAGAACCUUAUCAAAGUCUUACAGUCUUCACGCUUUGGUUUUGAGAGUAGAUGAGUCCCUUUUAGUGUAUGUCUUCAUGGUAGACCAUUCAUUCACCUUUAGCCUUUAUUAGUCAUAGGAAAAAAAUACAUGGCCUUAGGUUUUGAAACCCAUUAAUCUGUUAUUCACUUCAUCUCCAUUUGUUGGCCUGGUUUUUCUGUAUUUUUGUUGCCCAAACUGCUGAUUACGAAGUGAACAUACAAUAUCAAAUAUCAGUCCCCUUAAAGGGGAUACAGACUUUAGUUAACUUCAGCCACCUACUGAUGUUGGUGAAUCGUAAAAACAGUCACUAAUAAAAGUGAUUCUCUAAAGGCUCUCUCCCUCCCAGUGAAAUGUUAAUGCUUUACCAAAAUGUGUUAGAUGCAACAGACAGUUUUCUGUCUUGGGUUUAGGGCACAUUUCUGAGGAACUAUGACUCAAUCUGUCCCUUCUCCUUUCACAGGGCAGCAAGGCGAACCCCAUCCUUACUCACUGGAGCUCAGCUUUGAUUUUUAACUUCCCUUCCCCACCUUUCCAGAACACACACAUUCCCAUUUCAAAAUUGAUUUUAUAAAGACAUUUUAAAUAUACUGAUGCAACUUGGUGUGCACUACGGCAAACAUACAGGUGUUUUUUUAAAAAUUAUUUCC
rnacentral:lncRNA from 1 species